rnacentral:rRNA from 1 species
CCUACGGGCGGCUGCAGUAGGGAAUCUUCCACAAUGGACGAAAGUCUGAUGGAGCAACGCCGCGUGAACGAUGAAGGCCUUCGGGUCGUAAAGUUCUGUUGUAAGGGAAGAACAAGUGCCGCAGGCAAUGGCGGCACCUUGACGGUACCUUGCGAGAAAGCCACGGCUAACUACGUGCCAGCAGCCGCGGUAAUACGUAGGUGGCAAGCGUUGCCCGGAAUUAUUGGGCGUAAAGCGCGGGCAGGCGGCCAACUAGGCCGGAGUUGAAACCCCCCGGCUCAACCGGGGAGGGCCAUCGGAAACUGGGAGGCUUGAGUAUGGGAGAGAAGAGUGGAAUUCCACGUGUAGCGGUGAAAUGCGUAGAGAUGUGGAGGAACACCAGUGGCGAAGGCGACUCUCUGGCCUAUAACUGACGCUGAGGCGCGAAAGCGUGGGGAGCAAACAGGAUUAGAUACCCUAGUAGUC